rnacentral:lncRNA from 1 species
AGUUCCCGACCACGUCUCUCCCUCCACACCUCCCUGCAAGCUGAGGGAGCCGGCUCCGGCCUCCGCCAGCCCAGGAACGGGCUCCCACAGUGCAGCAGCAGGCUGAAGGGCUCUUCAAGCGUGGCCAGAGUGGGCGCCGAGGCCGAGGAGGCGCCGAGAGCAAGCGAGGCUGCCAGCACGCUGUCACCUCUCGCUGCCUCAGACUCUGGAGUAGCUGGGAUUACAGUCACGCGCCACCACACCCGGCUAAUUUUUGUACUUUUAAUAGAGACGCGGUUUCGCCAUGUUGGCCAGGCUUGUCUCAAUCUCCUGACCUCGUGAUCUGCCUACCUCGGCCUCCCAAAGUGCUGGGAUUACAGGCGUGAGCCACCGCGCCUGGCCGAUCUGAUGGUUUUAUAAGGGGCUUUUCGCCGCUUCACUUAGCACUCCUCUGUCCUGCCGCCAUGUAAAGGACGUGUUUGCUUCCACUUCUGCUUUGAUUGUAACUUUCUGUAAAAAAUUACAGCAGUGCAGAAGGUCUACUGGAUUAUGGCCUCCAGUUCCAUCCAUGUUGCUGCAGAAGCUAUAAUUUUAUUCUUUUGAAUGUUCUUUCUGGCUGUAAGAGUCUCUGAUCUUGGCAAGUGAUAGACCCCUAUGGCCAAUGAAUCACAACUUAAAUGAGUACCAAGUUCCCAGCUGAUAUGUGAAAAGGAGCUCAGUGAGAGGAAUCAAUGAUUUUAUAUGAAUCAUAUGGAAAGAGGUAAAAGUGCAUGCUUCAUGUUAUGUUACUUUCUUUUGCUUGAAAAUGCUAAAUUUGUAAAACUAUAUAAUAUGACAUACUUGUGACAACUGAAUUGUAAGAGAUUUUAUCUAAUAUUGCUUUAGAAUACAGAAAUAAUUGUUUCAAAGGAUAAAGGAUGGAAGAUUCUGAUAAAGCUUGCUUACUUUUGGGGGGAAGGCGUGGGGGGAAAUGUCUCAGUGCCCAAGGUCAGUGGCCUUCCUGACUGAAGACUUUCCCAGAGUAGAGGAUAAGAGUGGGAACAGGAAGAGCAGUUUAAAGUCAUCUUCACAACAUUCUGGUGAGUGAGUGAUUCCUUCAGCAGCAAACAGGCACAUGGUAAAAAUAUUGGUAAUGUGAAUUUAGUGUUGUUACUGUCAUUUUUUUCUUUAUUAACUAUGAUUUUGCUUACAGAUAGCAGUCAGAGUAGUAGUAUAUUUAUAAUAAUGAACCUCUUAGGGUUGCUGGUUUGGUGUUUCAAAGUUUUUCAGUUAUCCAUAUUAAACUUUUAAAGAUAUCUUGUGUGAAAAUUCAUUUCAAAUUACAUAGAAUUAAGAUACUAUGUUAUUUAGGAUAGACAAAUUAAGUGUGUUUGUCAUGAUUCUAUAAAUUGAUCUUAUUUGCUAUCAAAUAUUUUAAUUCAUGAAUGUAAUGUGAUAAAAUUUGUUAAAAAUAAUAGGCACACAUAUUUUCAUUGUAUUUAAAUUGCAAUCUGGCCUAUUCAAAAUUAACAUAGAUUGAUUUUGACCAAAGAGGUCUAGAAAGCAAGACCUUUUGUAAGAGAAGUGGAAAACAGAGUCAUUUCUUAGUUUCAUUCCACUAACCAAGAUGAAGCUGGGUCACAGAUUGCUGUAAACAUUUUUAAGUAACUCCGUGGAUCCCUCUCCUUCCACCCACUUUUCUCUGCUAUAUUCACAGAUAAUUCUCUACAUAUUUAUAGUUUGGGAGGGGAAAAUGACUCUCCAAGAGUUAACUUCAAUUACACAUUGGUGGGCAGUAACUGUGCUGAGUGCCAGUCAGAACUGUAUGUCAAAAAUGCCACCUUCUCUCUUAUUAAUGCUGACUUAGCAAAAACAGAGGGAAUUUAGGGCAAGUCAGAAUUCUUGUUUCAUUGUCCUAUUUUCAGUAAGAGAAGGAAUUUAGGACAACUUAGAAUUUUUUCUCCUGCCCUAUUUUAUUGCACAUAUGUUUAUUCAUAUUCAGCAAAAAGAAUCCCAAUUUUAGCCUUUGUUGUCUUCAUGUCCAAAAAGUAUUUUCCCAAUUAAUUUAAUUUUUUUAUUUUAAAAUUAAUAUAUCUGGCUAAAGACAUUAGAAAAAUUAUAUCAACUGAACAAAAUUUUUAAAUGACUCAUAGUUCCACCGGCAAAGGAAUAAACUCGGCUUUGAGUAAACUCUUGAAAUGUUCCUUUGAAAUAUGCUUAACCUUUAAUGUUCGUUUGAUUGAUUGUGAUCCUAAUACAUAUAUAAGUUUGCUUCUUUAUUAUUCAUUUUUAUAUCACAAACUCUUUUUUCAUUAUUAUAAAUUUUAUGGUAAUAAUAUGUUAGAUAAUUUCCAACCUAUGGUAGGAAUGUCCCUAGUUUAUUUGACCUUUAUGUGGUAAACAUUCAUUGUCUUUUAAAGUCUUGCGUAUUACAAUGAUACGUUAUUUCUAAUUUUUAUCUCCCCUCCAUUUGUAUUAAUUUAGCAGAAAAUAAACUUCCAGAAAUAAAAUCAAUUUGUCAAAUUUUAGGAAUAUUUAUAGGCUGAAAUGUAGAGCAUAUUGGGAUGCAUAUAUUGGUUGGAAUUUAGAGAGAAGUAAAAAUAAAAUAAAAAUGAUUCUGA